AACGAACGCUGGCGGCAUGCCUAACACAUGCAAGUCGAACGAGACCUUCGGGUCUAGUGGCGCACGGGUGCGUAACGCGUGGGAACCUGCCCUUAGGUUCGGAAUAACUCCCCGAAAGGGGUGCUAAUACCGGAUAAUGUCUUCGGACCAAAGAUUUAUCGCCUUUGGAUGGGCCCGCGUUGGAUUAGCUAGUUGGUAGGGUAAAAGCCUACCAAGGCGACGAUCCAUAGCUGGUCUGAGAGGAUGAUCCGCCACACUGGGACUGGGGCACGGCCCAGACCCCUACGGGACGGAGGAGUAGGGGAUAUUGGGAAAUGGGCGAAAGCCUGAUCCAGCAAUGCCGCGUGAGUGAUGAAGGCCUUAGGGUUGUAAAGCUCUUUUACCCGGGAUGAUAAUGACAGUACCGGGAGAAUAAGCUCCGGCUAACUCCGUG
rnacentral:rRNA from 1 species